rnacentral:lncRNA from 11 species
UCGUCUGUUAUAAAUUCACAUCUCAGCGCAUGCGCAUUAACGAUGCGCGCACAUCUUUUUCAAAUCGUCCAUAGUGGAUUUAAGCUGUAUUCGUUUCAAUGCGUUCAUAAAGUACGAUCAAUAGGAACUGCCAGGAAAGGAAUUGAACACUCAAAGACAACCUACUUAACGCUAUACGCUCGUAAGAGGUUAAUUAAAAGCGGAGCGUAACAAUCGAUAGGCAAGAAAGGGUAGAGCAUCGACAUCACUCCAAGCAGCACUCGUAAAAGAACAAUGGUCGCGUGUCUAGAAAACAUCGUAAUUAUGUCAAAGGAGUAACUGCGGAAGUGUAAAGUACUCCGACAUGUUGCAGCGAAAAUUACGCUUGAAACGGAGAUGUAUGUUCUUCACAAAAGUAGCAUCCGUAGUGUAACAGCCCUCCUAGGAAGGAUCGACUUGCGACCGCACAAUAUCCCACGUAUAUACGAUUAUCGAUCAAGGAUACGUAAACAGCCGUGGUAUAGUUGCGCACACGCGGCGACCAGGCCACUUAGCGUAUGUUUGUUUAGUACCUUUUACGACUAUAUUGUCCGGGCAUGUGUUAGAUUACGGAGCAGCCAGUGUCUGGCGCAUAGCUGAGGGUUGGGUGGUACGGCGCCGUGCUUCGAGAGGGUCAUUUAUAACUGUUAUCGUGAGACUUACUAGCCCACUUACUACCUCCACUGUGUCUAUUCUCCACCCACUCUUCUAUUCUACUGGAAGAAACGUAAGCGCGAGAUGCGCCAGUCCACCGAACCUGCUGGUCAUUCUAGCACGGUUUUUUAUUCGGUCAUCUUGUAUCACGCCAGAGAAUAAAAUCUUUGAGUAACGACAUCAUUUUCAGAAAAUCUUGAUUUUUAUCGCCAGUGUUCUAUGAGAAAAAUUGGCAGUUGUUUGUUUUCUCUGUUCCUUUCCAUUAGUUAGUUUACAUUCUAUAGAUGAUUUGUACAUUAUAAUUAAUUGUAAAAUAGAAUUAUGGUCUCGAGUUAUAUUGCGAUCUUUCCUAAUAAAGCAAGGUAGUAAUUGUUGGCUGUAUUGUUUUCCUUAAAUAUAAAAUUAUUUAGAAAUUCAUAGUCGAGAAACUAUAGGCGAGUGGAGAAGGUUAUUUUACGUAAAAUGUAUAAUUGUUGCUGGACUAAUUACAAUCCUGUUUUCAUUAGCUGUGGGACUUGUAACCGUAAUAGCUAUGCACACAGUCCUAAUCCUUUGUUCUCAUAAAGCCACUUUGAGUGGCGAACUGACCGAACUGAAUGCGAACUUUGGACAUAGCGUUUAAGGUUGGUAAUAUGCUAGCUUUACAUAAAUCUGCGUGAUAACUAAUGUGCAAACUUUCAUAUUUAUUGAGAUAACCGGAUACAAUUGUAGCGGCACACGAGUCAUAGGACAAAGAAAAUCAUGUAGUUGUUUUGCCUCAAAGUAUCAAGAUCGCUAGAUUACAAGUAAUGUAAAAACAAUGUCACCGCUACCAGUAACCGUCGUAGGAAGACAAAUUCGAAUUCUCUGAUCCCCCCCCCCCCUCCGACUAGUAUAAAUAAACCGACGCGAUCGCGAGCAAUAGUUCUUACCGAGUACGUAAAGAAUUCAUAGCAAGUAUUUAGCGUCAUCCGGAAUGACUUUGAAUAUCUAGCGAGCGUCUAUCAAGGAUACGACGGUUACCGCCAAAUCCUGGAAGCCACGCCAAGUGGCGGAAACACGGGAAUUCCAUCUGGAUUUACUAAGAUCAGUGCCAUUUAAUGUGGAGCUCGAUAAAUCCCUUAAAAGCUGGUGGUCGGCAAGAAGACGGUGCAUUACAAUUUUCCAGAAAGGAGAAUGGCGAACGUCUAGGGGAGACGCAGACAAAUCUGCAAAUGCAAGGCUUCAGGUGCCAAAUGCUUUCAUCGUAUAACGAUGUUCAAUUUGCGACGAAUUGCUCUGCGCUUAAUCUCGAAAGAAUUGAGAAGAAAUACUUUGUGUAUAUCAAUAGAAAACUGGAAUAUUCAUGACGAUCUGCAUCUUUAUAAUCUACUCUUCACCAAUGUUUUCCGUGAAAGUUGCGCAAUCUCGACGGAGAACUGAGAGACGCGGGGUCCGUUAGGAUCGCUGGACGGUCAGUAUCGUUCUUAUGCAACGUUAUCUAAACGUCGUUGUUUGCUUAUGAUUUCCAUAAUUCCGUACACUUCGUCCGCGGCAGGCUCUAAAGAGCCAAUAUCGAGCAAAGUAGGUGUGUACUUUAAUUACUAGAGAUAAUUACGUCGUCACCGGCUUCAGUAAGGGAUGGAGGUUUACUAUGAUAACAGAGUAUCCAAUAUCCUGGUGAGUUACGUACCGAGCACGACAUAGCUUCGUGCAUAUGUAUUCCGCACGUACGCACGCUGGAUGUAUUUACUAUCGUAUGCACGCCAGCACAUGCCAGCCAGUCGCGUUUAACCUCCAUCCGUUAUUAAUAUAAUUAUCCUCGCGAUUAUUGUCUUACGGUUGCUGCAUUUAACUGCGGACGUACGAUAUCCGCACCUGUUUUCCUGUCGCCUUCCCUGAAAAUUAGCGUCUUGGUCACUUGCCUCCAGAGCAAUCCGUCUUUCCGUAGAUUCGCGACGAUUAAUUGAAUUAUUAAGUUAAUUAGUUGAAUUUUUUGUUAAUAAUUUCUAUUUCCUUAGAAUUUAAUUUGGACUUGACAUAUACGAAAAGUAAUGUUUAGAAAAUGCAGUGGACAACGUAAGGUACAUGUGUCACUUUUUGUGUGUGUACGAUUCUAUACACGGUAUACUAUCGUAUUUUCUUAGAAUUUAAUCUGUAAUUGCGAUAUAAAAGAGAUGAUUUCAGUAAUUAGGAAAUAUAGCGGGCAACACGAGGUUACGUGGCUACACUCGAUGUUAUAGGAAAUCACGUUAUGCGAACUCGUUAGAAGAUUAUACCAAUUUAAACGCGAAAGGUAAAAUUUUACUUCUCUAAUCUUUUGUAACUAUUAGUUUCUCUAUAUAUAGACAAGCAAGAGACGAGUAUCGCAUUUUCAAAAACAAAAUUUAAGAUUAUGGUACAGUGUUCAGCUCUUCUGAUCUCUUAUACGGUGAUUUACUAUUCUAAUGUACUAUUAUAAAAGAAGACAACCAAUUUAUAUUUCUACAGCACUCAUCGAUCGAAUGUUUGACUCGUAUGCAUGGAAAACAUGCCUCGGUACAUUGUAAUUGCCGUGACUGUUAGCACGACAGAGUUGACAAGGGUGGACCGGUCGAGGAAGAGGCAGGGAGUAAGAAUGCGUGGGGAAUUUUCGAGGUGAUAUGCGGACGAGGUAGCGUGAGCAUUCUCGCAUAUGGCGAUAGGACGAAAGCUACGGAGGUAGCACGUCGGAAUAAUUUAUUUAGCUGGAGCAAUGUAAUAAUGGCGGGGUUGCGCCGAGUGCAAACUGCAGAACGCGUUCAUUACUACUUUAGUCGAAAGUGUAUGGUGUGGACAAACCAGGAGGGAGGGCAUGUAUGGGGGAUGGGAGCACGCGAUGUGGGUGGAGACACACGUAUAUACAGGAUGGUUAACAUCGUACCGGAUCGGCGAGUUGUAAUGUGCGGUUCGCCAGACGGCGAUAUUGCCAACGUUAGGUACACUGGUCGUCCACCGGCCUCGAACAGGGUAGACCAUAAUUUUCGAUUCCUGUUAACCAUGUCCAACUAUUUUUAUCGCAACAGUGCGACGAACGGUGCUAUUAUACUUGCGCAUUGCACAUCUACGAAUGCGAACAAUUUUUUUCAUUCUCUUUUUCAUUUUUACCUCUACUCUUUUCUCUGCCUUAUGGGAAACCAUGACGAAUAGAUGGAAGGUAGCGCGCAGUCGCAAUUGUUGGUUACCACGAGGAAAGGGGUAGCUCGCGGAAGAUAUCGUGUCCCCGGGGGACGCGUUUGGAAAUUGGAAGCGAUCGUCGCAAGCUGUAACAUCGUCUCACGUCGAGCAGCUUCCGAUCAAUUUAUUUUUUGCUGGGAUUAAUACCCGUCGUUGAGACAGCGCUCGUUUCUUCGUUGGUGAACGAUAUUUUUAAUCGCUAAACGGCUACUUCUUUGGACAUACGUUCCUCGACAUGUCAUGUAAGCUUCUUAUUCGUCGAAAAUGAUAUAGAUAUAUUUUAUUAUUAUAUAUUUGCAACAAAGAUAGAUAACUAAUAUUUCUGUUUCAAGUCUUCAUUCUCAGGUGACCAAAUGAUAAAGAAAAGAGAAAUAUAUGAUUGCGCUAUGGUACUGUUUAUUAGAAGAUAAAGUGAACCGUUACCUUUUAUUUCUCGUAAUUUUCACCGGCGAGUGAACGUCUGCAAAUGCGACUGAAUUAAAAACGUAAUUAUAACAGCGAAAUUUUCAACGAGAGAGAGUUUUAACGGCGACCAGUGGAUACACAUACAUUUAGACGGGAUACAAACGGUUUUAAAUGUAUCACGCAGCUUGUUGCAGUUUUCCGUCGAGUAUAUCAGAGGGCGUCUGAAAACCGGGUAUCGCAUUUCUGCGGGUUUUCCCUCUAAUCACAUUCGGUAACUUAAGAGCCGCGCUGUAAUUCUUCGAGCCCGCGCGGUGCAACGGUCGAGCGAGACAAAAGAGCGAAACUGAAAAAAUAGAUUUAUUUUUCUUUCCGUAUCCGUGGACUCCUCUGUCCUCCAUAGAUCUUCCCCUUUUAUCCUUCCCAUAGUAUAGCCAGAAAUACGGUCGGCUACCCCGCGGGGCUCUACUAUUUAUAACUUCGACUCAUUUUCCCUCAUUGCGCGGAACAGCGGGACUCAGAUAAAUAAUUGUUUUUAACCGAAGUUUUAUUGUUACCGCGCCUGUAAACCAGUACAAAUUGCGCGACGUAAGGGCACACAUCGGCUAAAUGAAUUUAUGGAAAAAUAAGGAAUAAAAAAUAUUGGUGGCAGAGUUUGAGAACUCUGUGUGCAUGUUAAACUGCGACCGCGGACUCGUUUGUUAGAACGCGUGUGCAUAUUUUCGAAGAAGCAACCUUUUUGCUCUGUCGUACCGAACAAUUUGACUUUUGGUUUAUUUGAAAUGUCGGUUGUUGAAAUUUGUUUCGCGGAUGGGAAAUGUGAUAUCGAAAUUGAUCAUGGUGCUGAAUUUAUGUUUUAUACAAUUGAAAAUGUAUUUGGUACAUGGACUUUAGGUGAUGUAGUAUUGUUUUUGAGGAAAUGACAAAUCAAGGAAAUGACUUUUGAAUAUUAGAUGGUUUUGGAUGAGCUGACAAUUUUCAAAUUUUUAGUGUUCUCAAUUACUUCGAACGAUUUUCCAAUGGUCUUAAAUGUUAUUGAAAUGAUCUUCGAACAAUCUUGAGUUAGACUCUAAAUGACUUUAAAUAUGAGUCCUCGUGUCAAUUUUAUUCAAUUUAUUUCCUUAGAUCAGUUAAUUAAAUAAAGCGAUUAAAGAUUGCAGAAAUUUAAUGUGGCAUUUAAAAAAUUAGGCUAGGAUUAAUAAAUAUUUGCUUUUAGAUAAGUUUGAUCAAUGCGACUCCGUUUGAACGGCGGCGUUCUUUAAAAAUAAAUCAGAGCAUCGAAUGUCUGAAACGGUUCGAACAGGGCGCAACGGGUAUUAACGAUGUAAACGAUAAUGUAGAACAUUGUCCUGUGAUUCUGUUCCACGUUCAUUUGCAUGGAGCUUAAUGCGGACGCCGAUCGUUGUUUUACUGCAGACAAUGAAUUUCAAAUCAAUUUAUGCAACUACGAUCGCAACCUUCGUGUAACUCAUUGACGCUUGCCCAUAAACCAUCCAUGUUUAUCGCCCUAAUUACGCUAAGCAUCGCGUCAGCCGAAUAAUAUUCCUCGUGCGUGUUUAAUAGCGAUAAUAACGCUUUUUAUAAAUUUACAAAAUUUUCCAGUUUGCUAAAUUGUUCAUUAUACCUUUUAUCACUUAAAAACAAUAAUAUAAAUAAAAAAUAAAUAAAAUAAAUACUCGUUUG